GCCGGCCUAGCUCAGCUGGUAGAGCGCAAGGCUCUUAACCUUGUGGUCGUGGGUUCGAUCCCCACGGCCGGCG
rfam:Selaginella moellendorffii unplaced genomic scaffold SELMOscaffold_0, whole genome shotgun sequence.